GUCUUAUUAAGAACUACUGAGAGAAAAAACUCGACGAAGUAGUAGCAACCUUUUAAGUUAGGUGCUUAAAUUCAGGGGAAACCAACGAUGAGAA
rnacentral:ncRNA from 2 species